GUCUACAGCCAUGCCACCCUGAACAAGCCCAAUCCCAUCUGAUCUCGGAAGCUUAGCAGGGUCGGGCCUGGUUAGUACUUGGAUGGGAGACCACCUAGGAAGACCAGGUGCUGUAGGCA
rnacentral:rRNA from 1 species